GUACACCCCUACGGGAGGCAGCAGUGGGGAAUAUUGGACAAUGGGCGCAAGCCUGAUCCAGCCAUGCCGCGUGAGUGAUGAAGGCCCUAGGGUUGUAAAGCUCUUUCACCGGUGAAGAUAAUGACGGUAACCGGAGAAGAAGCCCCGGCUAACUUCGUGCCAGCAGCCGCGGUAAUACGAAGGGGGCUAGCGUUGUUCGGAUUUACUGGGCGUAAAGCGCACGUAGGCGGACUAUUAAGUCAGGGGUGAAAUCCCGGGGCUCAACCCCGGAACUGCCUUUGAUACUGGUAGUCUUGAGUUCGAGAGAGGUGAGUGGAAUUCCGAGUGUAGAGGUGAAAUUCGUAGAUAUUCGGAGGAACACCAGUGGCGAAGGCGGCUCACUGGCUCGAUACUGACGCUGAGGUGCGAAAGCGUGGGGAGCAAACAGGAUUAGAAACCCCUGUAGUCCCAUGAU
rnacentral:rRNA from 1 species